GGACGAAUCAACGGAGGGCGAGGAAGAAGAAACGGACGACCAAAUCACCGGCAUUCGUUCUGUCUCAGAAGACGGUCAAGAACCUAGAACUUGUUGCAGCCACAUUGGAAACCUUCUUAAAUAAAAUUAUUUUACUUCCCUCGACAGUGUCUCUUUACCAUGUAUCUGCGGUGAUCCUGAUUCGGAUGAACGGUGAAUACCACGCAGCCGACGAUCUCUAUGGAGCGGCAUUGACUAAGGACUGGUUGCAAUAUGAACCGAAAUUGGAGGAUGAAGAUUUGGCCCAGUCUUUCCAACAAAAUUUGUCCUUCGAAUCAUCCUCACCUUUUGACAUUGCAAGCAUAUUCCGACCUUUUCCGUUCCCAUUUUAUCCCGAUAACGGGCAAGCCUUUCAGCAUCCAGAAUGUGUCCAUUCUUAUGCUUCCGAUGGUUCGCUUACUAAUCAC